GGAAGUAAAAGUCGUAACAAGGUCUCCGUUGGUGAACCAGCGGAGGGAUCAUUACAGAGUUGCAAAACUCCCAACCCUUUGUGAACAUACCCAAGUUGCUUCGGCAGGCAGGCCCAGGGCGGGCCUGUAGCCUGUUUUCAGGCGCCUGCCGGAGGUUUUAAACUCUAUAUUUUAGUGAUAUCUGAGUAACAAUAUAAAUAAGUCAAAACUUUCAGCAACGGAUCUCUUGGUUCUGGCAUCGAUGAAGAACGCAGCGAAAUGCGAUAAGUAAUGUGAAUUGCAGAAUUCAGUGAAUCAUCGAAUCUUUGAACGCACAUUGCGCCCAUUAGUAUUCUAACGGGCAUGCCUGUUCGAGCGUCAUUUCAACCCUCAAGCCCUGCUUGGUGUUGGGGCACUAUUUUUUGUAUAGGCCCUGUAACAUAGUGGCGGAUCUGCUGUUAUCCUGAGCGUAGUAAUAUACGUCGCUUUGGGCUUUCAGUGGGCUUCUGCCGUUAAACCCCCACUUUUUUAAGGUUGACCUCGGAUCAGGUAGGAAUACCCGCUGAACUUAAGCAUAUCAAUAAGCGGAGGA
rnacentral:rRNA from 1 species